AUAUUAUGGUAGAAAAGGAACCAGUGAUUUACUUGCUUGGGACCCCCUAUUUGGACCAUCUCUUGAUUCAUCUUCUUCAUCUUCACUAACUUCAUCAUCAUCAGCCAGGCCCACAACUCCUCUUUCUGUAGGCACCAUUGUCCCACCUCCGAGGCCUGCUUCCAGACCAAAGCUUACUUCAGGCAAACUCAGUGGGAUUAAUGAAAUACCCAGGCCAUUCAGCCCACCUGUAACUUCCAACACCAGCCCACCUCCUGCUGCACCAUUAGCCCGGGCAGAAAGUUCUUCUUCUAUCUCAUCAUCUGCUUCAUUGAGUGCUGCCAAUACUCCAACAGUAGGUGUGUCACGGGGUCCCAGCCCUGUCAGCCUUGGAAAUCAGGAUACCUUACCUGUGGCAGUUGCCCUUACAGAAUCUGUUAAUGCCUACUUUAAAGGAGCAGAUCCCACCAAGUGUAUUGUGAAGAUCACUGGUGAUAUGACAAUGUCAUUUCCAAGUGGAAUUAUUAAAGUCUUCACCAGCAAUCCAACUCCAGCUGUGUUGUGCUUCAGGGUG
rnacentral:lncRNA from 10 species